rnacentral:lncRNA from 1 species
CUCUCUCUCUCUCUCUCUCUCUCCCUCUCUCUCCCUCCCGACUGCUAGAGAAAACCAGUCGGGCAGCCACCUUCCAAGCCACCCCAACGCCACCUCAAGCCACCCCGACCCUCCGGACCGGACCCAGCAGCACCGGCCAGCUCCCGCCAUCAACCUCAGCUCGUCCGCCGCCCCUGCUGCUGUCUGGAGUUGCUGGAAACUGCAGGAAAACGCAGCAGUUUUGGCCGAUUUUCCAACCUCAGUUUCUCCCUCAUCCGGCCACCAAAUCAGUCGUGUGAGGUAUCGAUUUCUAGCUAUUUUUCGUGCUCUAACUGAUGGUGGGCUGGGUUUAGAUCGAUUUCACCUCUAGGUUGCUUAAUUUUCGAUUUGAAAUCGGCCGAACUUCGGCCGCCGUGAUCGGCCACUUCCGGCCAGUUUUUGGGGUAUGUCCAAGAACAAAAGUGACUCCAAAUGGGGUUUUAUACCUAGGAUAGGAGUUUGGAGCUGUGGUUUGGAGUUUUUCCGGCGAACCGUUAUCGCUUUGGACACCCGCCGCUGCCCGCGCGUGUGGCGGCGCGUGGGUGAGGGUAUAGUAGUGACUCUGGGUAUUUUUGUGAUCCUCGUGUUGUCACGAGCGCGUAGGAUUUCGCAGAUCUCAAUUCGGAGUCUGUUUGAGCCCCGAACGGAUUUUCCAUAGUAUGCGAUUUCCGGGUGCAGUAUCGUUGAACCGAUGGAUCGCACCCCAUUUCUGAUAUGUUGUUCUACAUUGUUUCAGGAUCGUGUAGGAUUCGACGGAUUGCGAAUCGGAGUCCCAGAUACUCCGAAAUCGCAAACCCUGGGGCUAGGGUUUGGAAUUUAAGCGAUAACGCAGUUUUGGCUAAUCCGACCGUCCAUUUCGGACCAAACUCGCAGGACAUGGGUUUUACACAGUAAGGAACCUCUAGAGAAUCCCAGGCCAUCGGAGAUCGUGGACCCCAAGGGGUUCCGGACAGGCCGGUCUAGCAGGUUAUCGCUUAGUAAGGUUUCAGGUCUUUUAUGGCCGUUCUAAUUAUCUGAAAUGCUACAGUGAGUAUAGGGUUGACUUUAAAAGGAGUGCACGUAUUUCUAGGAGUUGGGGACAGGGUAUUUAAUUUAAUGUAUUUAUUGAGCAGUUUAGUAAUUCAUUAUUUAUGGUUAAACAGGCAGCAGAGGCCAAACUGAGCCACAGGAGGGACCUUCAAGAGGUCCAGCUAGAUCGGACCAGCAGUGAGUGGACCUUUCUUUUCUAAAUGAUUUUUCUGAAUCAGUUUUAUUCAGUGUGAUUUAUUCCUAUGAAUUUAAAGAUUCCUUCUAUACAUUGCUUAGCUGAUUUUGCUAAAGUUAUUUGGACAGCAGACUUUGAGAUUUAUGAUUCAGAAAUAGCUAGCUCAGAUUUUAUCAGAAUACAAAGGAUAUCAGAUUUCAGAGAAUUAUCAGAUAAUUAUUUUUAGACCACCAUGAAUUAUAGAAAGCAGAGUUUGAGUUUUCUAUCAGAUAAAAAGGUCAACUCAGUUAUAGAGUGAAUAAAGAUUCAGUGAUUCAUCAGAUCUUUCAGGAAUAUUAAGAUUCAGUUAUUCUUCAGAUCAGCACAGUUAUAGAUUGAUUACAGAUUCAGUUAUUCCUCAGAUCUUUCAGAAAUAUUAUUAUAUCUUUAUAUUACAUUUUCUCAGCAGUUAUAUUUUCUUAAACCACUGUGGGUACCCAGUUUCAGUGCAAUUAUGCAAAUAUUGAUUUCAGUGAUUUUAAUUGAGUUUCUUAAUAUCGAGCAGCUUUUACAUCUGAGUAAAUAUAUAUCUGUAUAUAUAUGUUUACCUAAAUGCUUUGGACUUAUCAUAACUCAAGUACAGUUUACAGAUGCAGUUUUAAGAUUAUUAUUUUUACAGUGGGGGUUAUUAUGUUCAUAAACUGUUUGAGAACUCUAUUUUGGUCCACUAACACUUUUAAAUGUUUUGCGCCCCCCAGGCAGUAGACGUGCACAGGAAUCCACCACCAGGCCCUCUCCAGCUCCCACGCUACUUACAAGAUGUAGGAUUGGUUGUAAGCUACUUAAAGUCUUGUAAAUAAUUAGUAACUGCUCUGAUAUCUGGUUGGAUUAGAUAACCAGAACUGGUGAAUAUUUAGUUACCCUAUUCUGGCAGUUGGUGUGGUUUUAGUUGAUUGUUUGACAUGUGAAAAAUUUGGGUUUAGUCAAAUUACAGGGGAGACUCUGCCGAAUUUUCGGCAGGAGGCCAGAGAAAGUUUAAACCGUAUUUAUUAGCAGGAAGGGUAAAGAGG